rnacentral:hammerhead_ribozyme from 1 species
AUCCAACUGACGAGUCCCAAAUAGGACAAAACACGCGUCAAACUGAAU